GACGAACGCUGGCGGCGUGCUCAACACAUGCAAGUCGAACGGAAAGGCCCUGCUUUUGUGGGGUGCUCGAGUGGCGAACGGGUGAGUAACACGUGAGUAACCUGCCCUUGACUUUGGGAUAACUUCAGGAAACUGGGGCUAAUACCGGAUAGGAGCUCCUGCUGCAUGGUGGGGGUUGGAAAGUUUCGGCGGUUGGGGAUGGACUCGCGGCUUAUCAGCUUGUUGGUGGGGUAGUGGCUUACCAAGGCUUUGACGGGUAGCCGGCCUGAGAGGGUGACCGGCCACAUUGGGACUGAGAUACGGCCCAGACUCCUACGGGAGGCAGCAGUGGGGAAUAUUGCACAAUGGGCGGAAGCCUGAUGCAGCAACGCCGCGUGCGGGAUGACGGCCUUCGGGUUGUAAACCGCUUUCGCCUGUGACGAAGCGUGAGUGACGGUAAUGGGUAAAGAAGCACCGGCUAACUACGUGCCAGCAGCCGCGGUGAUACGUAGGGUGCGAGCGUUGUCCGGAUUUAUUGGGCGUAAAGGGCUCGUAGGUGGUUGAUCGCGUCGGAAGUGUAAUCUUGGGGCUUAACCCUGAGCGUGCUUUCGAUACGGGUUGACUUGAGGAAGGUAGGGGAGAAUGGAAUUCCUGGUGGAGCGGUGGAAUGCGCAGAUAUCAGGAGGAACACCAGUGGCGAAGGCGGUUCUCUGGGCCUUUCCUGACGCUGAGGAGCGAAAGCGUGGGGAGCGAACAGGCUUAGAUACCCUGGUAGUCCACGCUGUAAACGGUGGGUACUAGGUGUGGGGUCCAUUCCACGGGUUCCGUGCCGUAGCUAACGCUUUAAGUACCCCGCCUGGGGAGUACGGCCGCAAGGCUAAAACUCAAAGGAAUUGACGGGGCCCCGCACAAGCGGCGGAGCAUGCGGAUUAAUUCGAUGCAACGCGUAGAACCUUACCUGGGUUUGACAUGGAUCGGGAGUGCUCAGAGAUGGGUGUGCCUCUUUUGGGGUCGGUUCACAGGUGGUGCAUGGCUGUCGUCAGCUCGUGUCGUGAGAUGUUGGGUUAAGUCCCGCAACGAGCGCAACCCUUGUUCACUGUUGCCAGCACGUUAUGGUGGGGACUCAGUGGAGACCGCCGGGGUCAACUCGGAGGAAGGUGGGGAUGACGUCAAGUCAUCAUGCCCCUUAUGUCCAGGGCUUCACGCAUGCUACAAUGGCUGGUACAGAGAGUGGCGAGCCUGUGAGGGUGAGCGAAUCUCGGAAAGCCGGUCUCAGUUCGGAUUGGGGUCUGCAACUCGACCUCAUGAAGUCGGAGUCGCUAGUAAUCGCAGAUCAGCAACGCUGCGGUGAAUACGUUCCCGGG
rnacentral:rRNA from 1 species